CGCGAGAGAAACCCGGCGGAGCUGCAAGUUAGAGCUCCGCCGGGUCCUCUCUCCUGGCGGCUGUCUCCCUCCCUCUCUCCCCGCCGGCGGCCGCGUUUGAGCGCAUGUGGGCCGGUGAGGGAGAUCUUUGACCUCCCCACCGGCCCUCCAUGGCAAACAGCGGGGCCGGCGCUCGGAUAGUGCCGGCCCUGCAUAGACCGGCAGGGGAGAUCCUGGGACCUCCCCUGUCGGCCACCGCGGCCCACCGGGCAUGUGCCCGAUGGCCAGUCCGGGCCUGCUUAACUGAGAUACUUCAAUGAUACUUAUUGAGAUACUUCACUGGGGAACAUCAUUGAGAGACAUCAUUGAGACUUCACUGAGAUACUUAAUUGGUAUACUUAAUUGGGAUACAUCGUUGAGAUACUUCACUGGGGUACUUCAUUGAGAUACAUCAUUUAUACUUCAGUGAGAUACAUCACUGAAAUACUUCAUUGGGAUACUUCAUUGAGAUACACAAUUGAUACUUCACUGAGAUACUUCAUUGGGAUACUUCACUGGGAUACUUCAUUGACAUACAUCAUUGAUACUUCACUGAGAUACUUCACUGAGAUACUUCAAUGAUACGUCAUUGGGAUACUUCAUUGAGAUACUUCACUGAAGAACAUCAUUGAGACUUCAUUGAGAGAUGUCAUUGAGACUUCACUGAGAUACUUCGUUAAUACGUCAUUGAGAUACAUUAUUGAUACUUCACUGAACUACUUCAUUGGGAUACAUCAUCGAGAUACUUCACUGAGAUACAUCACUGAGAUACUUCAUUAAUACUGCAUUGGGAUACUUCAUUGAUACUUCGCUGAGAUACGUCACUAAGAUACUUCACUGAGCUACUUCAUUGAGAUACAUCAUUGAUACUUCACAGAGAUACUACAUUGGGAUACUUCAUUAAUACUUAAUUGGGAUACGUCAUUGAUACUUCACUAAGGUACUUCACUGAGCUACUUCAUUGAGAUACAUCAUUGAUACUUCACUGGGAUACUGCAUUAAUAAUUCAUUGGGAUAUUUCAUUGAGAUACUUAACUGAGAUACUUCAUUGAGAGACGUCAUUGAUACUUCUCUGAGAUACGCCAUUGAGAUAUUUCAUUGAGAUGAAGCAGUCUAGGUGCCUAUAGAGUCUAUUCAACAGUUGUCAAGCUACCAGGAGCCUUUGCGCACUUUGUUUUACACAAUUUUGCUCACAUUUUAAUAUUUCAUCAUAAAAUAAUUGGGAAAUAAGAAGCGUAGAGAGAACAAGAGAGCUGCAGAAAUACAAACUGCAGAUAAACAAAACACAGUACACAGAAUUAAUGUAUAAACUCAGCUGGAAUAUUCUCAGUAGAUUUAGGGCACCUUUAGUUAAUUGUUAAUAGGAUAUAUUUUUGUUUGUCAACCCAGUGAGCAGUUCCUUGAUAUUUCUCGCUGUCAAUUAUACUCGAAAAAGCUCUGAUUAAAAAAAAGAAAGGUGACUGAAAUAAAAUACAUUAAAGGAUCACUAUAGUGUCAGGAAAACAAACUCGUUUUCAUGACACUAUUUAAUCUUUAGGGUCCCCCCACCUGCUGGGCUGAAGGGGCUAAAACCCCUUCAGCCACUUACCUUUUUUCAGUGCCAGGCUCCCUCGGCGCUGGUGACCUCUCCUCACCCUCCGACGUCAGCUCCCGAGUGGAGCUGAAUGCUCAUGUGCGGCAAGAGCCACGCGCGCAUUAAAAACGCCUAUAGGAAAGCAUUUCUCAAUGGCUCUCCGGAAUAUAAGAUAACACAGGGAUAAACGUAAAUAAAAGGCAAAACCAAAGAAAACGACAGAGGAAACAGAGGUCAGGGAGAUGGAGAGUCCACAACAUCCGAGAAAUGUUAAAUCAGGUCCGUACGACCAGGGGCCAGGAAUCCAGAGGCCACCGUAGCAAUAUCCCAGCCAGCCCUAAUUAUAUGGAAAUGUUCUGUAAAUAUUCUCUCUCUGCCAGCUUAUCACACCGCAGCACCUCGCUGCCAGCCAUUCAUUGCUCUCCUAUUCCCAAUAUGACACCAGUUUAUUUACAGGACGAGCUGGGUCUGGGAGAUAAAACUUCACAAGAUGUAAAUUACCGCUAAUGUGGGAGAGAGUGUUAAUGCUAAAUAGAAUUAGAGAGAUGGAUGGCUUUAUAUCUGCUCAGCUGUUGAGGAGACAGAAAUAUCAAUAGGGGCAAAUUCUUCACAAAUAAUGUGCAAACGGGGUCCAGGGGCUGACAGGCGGUUACCGCUCAUCGUCGUAUAACUUCAGUCUGUGAAUAUUGUGUGUGUUUGUGCGUGUGCAUCUGACGAAUAUAACUGUAAAAGACCAAUGCUUCUGUUACUGUUGUGUCAUCAUGUUAGGUCUAUGUUGUCUCUUGGUUGGCCAAAGAUGCCAGGGACCCUAGCCAUGUUCCCUACUGCUUUAUGUACAAUGCAUAAUUCGAAAGAUAAAGCAGGCUCUGCAGGAUUACAUUGUGGCACAGUAAAUGGUUGAUGGUUUACCCCCUGCAGUCCAGGCACAUCCUCUGUACCCAAUUAGGGAGGCAGAGUGGGGUCUGAUAAUUAGAUUCAUUGUCGUCGUCCCCCCCUCUGUUUGGAAUUACCUGUACAUGAAGUCUUCUGUUAAUUAGAGUUUGAUAUUUUUAAUAACAUUACCUGUUGUCUUUUGUACCUGUAAUUGAAUUACCUGGUUUAAACUAGGCUCUCUAUUGUUUGAAUUUACCAUGUUAUAAUUGAUUGGGCUUUUCACAUCCCUGAUUGGUGACUGUUGUUUAUGUGUUAUUUGGAGAACUGCUAUAUAUUAUGUCUAUGAACCAGAAUAAAGGUGUUUGUGAUUUACCAAGAAGGAAGUUGUGUGUCUCUUGGAGUAUCCAGGUAUAUUACUGUUUGUUGUCCACUAUAGAGUAGUUACUCAUAGAGAAUUGCUAGUGGACUCGUUAGAUAAAAUAUCCUAUAUGAACCGGAGCUAUAAGUGCAGUAUAUUUGGUGGAUACACAACAAUGUACCGGGUCUUAGUGCUUAGUAUAGUGGUUAGCUGUGCAUGUUAGUGAAAGAAACCCAUGGACGAUAACGUGUCUGAACUGCUACACCUUCUGUAGCAGAGACCCCAGGGUCGUAUUCUCACAAUGCAUGUGUGUAAAGAGCACUGCGUAGUCUAUUUACCCCGUGUACCUCGUCGCUCUUCACCACCAGCAACAUGAACCAGCAACAUGAACAAAGAGAAUGGCACCUUUAAGUCAUGUAUUUAUAACGAUGAUAUGUCUAGAUUACCUGGUGUCAGCAGAUGGGGGAGCCAUUAAUUCUAGUCCCUGUGGGCACUGUACUGUUCUAGCAGGAGAAAUGAAUUUCUGAAAUGCAAGAAUUUCCCGGGGGCAGAGUUACCCCAUUUCCAUGUAAGGACUAUUCAGAAUGUAAAAGAACCUUGUUGUCUAAAAAGGAAGAACAUGUUGGAAUAGGUGGCACACAUCAUACAAAUACUUGUAUGGCAAAGGGAAGUCUAAUUUCUUCCAUGACAUAUUUAAAUGAUGAGGUGGGACUAUAGCUGCAGCACGUUUUAAAGUUUGUUGCUGUUAAAACCAUGAAAACUAGGCCAAGAUGGCUACCUGCAGUAAGGCAAAUAGCUAGAAGACUGAUGUUUUAAUAUUAAAGCUCUUUUUUUCAGAAUGUAACAGGAAAUAAAAACCCUUUCCUGCAGGAUGACUAAAAAAUGAACAAACUCUGCAUUCCAGCUCAGUGUGUGUCCACGCGGUUUUGGUUCAUGUUUUGGGAUCGAUGAAGAGAUGAAAGCUCUGGCCUCGCACCCAGCAUGCUGCUUUUUUGACCUGUUUUAGUCGCCAUCGGUCAUGGAUGUAAAACUGACACAAACUCUAAGCCAAACGCACAUUUUUCCCCUGGAUCCCGAGUGGGGAAGGAUCAGCAUUUAAUGAGCUUUUUACAGUUGCUGUGCGCUCCGAGGCUUGUCCGAAAGAAUUAGAUUAAAAUCAUUGCUCGGUUUCCCUGCUUAUUGAGAAGAUGGCCUACACGAUUCUGGUGUGAAAAGCUCGGAGAUUAGAAAGGACACGGCUACCGUCUCUUACAAAUCCACUUGGAGACGUUGACUAGAGGUGCGGCAUGUGAGAAAUUGCUUUAUAUCAAUGAGAAAUAGUCUUACUGAAAGUCAGACAAUGGAAGGACGGAAUUAGAAAUCUGAGCUCCAAGGUUCUAUAAAUUCUAUUUUUAUCUCCAGUAAUGUAUUCUAUUAUACCUCAUUAUUUAAUAACCAUAACUAAUGUUUAUUUUAUUUUAUUUGCAGUAAACACUGGAAACAAGAUUAGUAGUGGGAACCCUUCGCCCACCAUUCCACAAUCACUUGAAUGAUAAUUAUAGAUACAGGGUAAUAAAUGGGAAAAAGGAGACUCAGGCAGGUAAUCAGUAUACCAUAAAAGUAAGACUCAGUUAGGUAAUCGGUAUACCAUAAAAGGGAGGUUCAGG